GAGCAGAGUCAGACAUGAGCCGUGUCUAAAGACUAACGACCCGACCUUGAUCUGAACCAAAGCAAUCCAAUCCAACGUUUGAACAAGCCUAGAUCCAACGCUGAGAAUUGGUCUUGGUUCUACUACGCCCUCAUCACAGGCCCGAAACAGAUACCGAGAACUAGAAGACUCAAUUUUCUGCGCGGCAGGCACGGCAGCAACAAAGGCUCCAGAGUCCAGACAACUGCUCUGCUUCACGACCACGAGAUUGUGGUUUCGGUACCAGAUUACCAGCAACUCCGUGAGGCAAUGCCAAUGCGGCGGCCGGCGUGAAUACCUCAACCUUGAAGGAGGAUACAGUGUCGAUGGCCUGGGCGUGCGCACCACCCGUUCGGCAAAAUGUCCCCGAGAGGCCGAUAAACCUCGCAUUUACGCGGCAAGUAAAGCAAGUUUCAUUGAGUUAUUAUUACUGUCAUAGUGCCAUACGAGAGUUUGAUCCAUAACAGCUGCUCCCAUAUUAUGAAACCAUGGUAGAGGAGAGAACUGGUGGGUGGUGGACUGGUCACUGGUCUACUUCGUUGGGCACAACUUCAGUGCAUAGAACUGUGGACAAAACUGAAGCUAAGUUAGACUUGCAGUCUUACAGAGUUACACAUGAAACAUCAAGAUCGCAACUGCUCCUACAUGGCUACAUUGCACAAAAGGUACUAACACAAAUGCAUCCUAAUAACUCUGCUAGCUUCGAUGUUAACAGAACGAAAUUCUAAUACUCCAUGAUAACAGCAAUGCUAGCAGAUGGUGGUAGAAGCUCCAAUAAGUGAAAAUUAGGUACACUGUCUGCUGCACUAUAAAGCAAAGCCUACAUUAGUACAGAAUUCAAACUAAGUAUAGUACUUGGUCGACUUGUAAUUUGUUGAGACCUCGGUUGUGCAAGGGAGAGAGUCCCAAGGCAAGGUCAUCCUCCAGUCAUCUGGCAGUGCCCCUUGCAGGUUGAACGGGAAGUUGAUUGACCGGGGAGCACCGGUGACACUGUUGCCAAUGUCAAGCAAAUCAGCCGUGCAUCUGUUGGCCAUGCUGCUGUUGCUGGGGUGGUGUGGUUGACCAAACUCAAUGUUUGUGGGGAUCCUAUCUAGGUUCUGGAGUGUAGUGGGUGAUGCAUUGAGGACCAUUGAUGCAAUGUCCAUCCCAGCUGGAAGAUCAUGUGGGAUUGCUGAGAGGAUACUCAUGGCGUGAUGUUCUGCUCCAGAUGAGGGGAGCAUUAGGGACGCAGCCGGCCUGCUGCUGCUGUCAAUGAUGCUCAGAGGGUUGCGGCAAGAGGAAACUAUUGAAGGCAUGUAACUACUACCAGUGAACUGGAUGGAGGAGAUGAUGUCUGUCAUCGUAGAGGAUGUGUUCUCUGAGCUGUGAUAACUUCUCUGUGUAGCCUGUGAGGAUAGGCGAAUGUAGUUUUCAUUUGUGCUGGAUAGAGGAGGAGAUACCCAGGAAUGUGAGAGAGCUCUCUGUGCUGUUGAAUUGGUUUUCUUGAAAAUCCUGCAGAUCGCCCAGGAAUCCUGUUCAUACAAAAGAAAUUAAGUAGAGCUGGUUAGUGGUUUUCUAUACAAGUGGCUUCUUCUGCAGCAGUGUUGGGUCAGUGAGUGAUGGCAACCUGAAUUCAUGCAUCAUCCAGUCGGUUUUGACACCUUUGGCUGCUCUACCUUUGUAGAAGACAAGAGAUUUCUUCAAGCCUAUGCACUUGCUCCCAUCAGAAGAGUAGAUUGGCCUGUCAGUUCCAGUAGCCUUCCAGAAGCCUGCUCCAGUUACCCUGUUUGGUCUUGUGCUGUUCCGAUACUUCCUAUCCCUUGGACAGUAGAAAUACCAUUCCUUCUCUCCAGUACUCGCCAGUUCUUUAUGGAGAUAAAAGAGACAGAAUAUUUUGUAAGUAACUGUAUGUAAGAUUCAUGCUGUCUUUACUAGUUACGAUCAAAGAUCCCAAAUUUAGGGUUCAAUAUUGAAGCCAAGGUGUUUAACUGAUAAGAUGCAUUACACAUUCAUGUGUGCAAAUAUAAUCUAUGUCCAACCUACAUGCACUCAAACUUUGAUAGCCGAAGCCUGAAUCAGCUAUACAACACAACAGCAUACAAUUGAAAGCAUAAGCUCAGCAAGAACUUACAGGUUCGUAUAGGCUCAGAGCUGGUUAUGUGAUCACAUAAAAUUUCGUUAACACCGAGACAAAACAUUAUAAAUACAUUAGGACAGCAAGCUUAUAUUAUGUUGGUUUGUGCAUACCUUACUAUUCAUGUUAAUGAUAUUUAACUCUAUGACCAGUUUUACCUGUUGUAUAAUGCUCAGUAUUGCAAGUAGACAAAACCUUAUAGAUACAGACGAGCAUGCAUGUAAAAGUUUUUGAAGAUUUACUAAGAUUCAUAGUAUCAAAACAUGUCCCACGUUACUUGUACAGAAAAGGAGCAUCAUGUAGCGAACUAAGCUUAUCUUAAAACAAACAAUUUUCUUUAUUAGCUCUUUACAGAUUUGUGCAGAGAAAUAGAAUAUAGUUAACAAGGGGAAGAGGUGCACAGAAGCUUACUUGGGAGAUCCCAUGGAUCAUAUUUGUAGAUGUCUAGCUGCCUGAUGAGCUCAAUGGGGAGAGACUUCUGCUGGAUUUUUCUUUUAAGGUAAAACCUGACAAGCUCUUCAUCUGUUGGAUGAAACCUGAAUCCAGGUAACAUAACUUCAUCUUGCUUCUCUAUGUCAUCACUUCUGAUGGCAUCCAUAUGUUUACACAGUACAACAAACUACUGGUUAGAUGCUGUAUAUCUCAAGCAGUGCUCACCUGCUUCUAGUUACAAGAAGUUACCAGCUACAAAACCUAACGGUUAAUCUGUAUGGUCAAACUUCACUCGGUAGGAAGUAGCUAAAAGAUUCUGGUUUCUGCUGAUUACUGGAGCUAAAACGAACCCUUUCUUCCACUCAGUGUGGGACUACCAUAUAUUUCUUUGGGGCCAAACAAGGUGGGUCACUAAGCACUGGCUCUGCUCUUAUCAAAGACUAACUAAAUUUGGAGAAAAGCUAGCACAAAAUCUCAGAGAAGGAAGAAGCAGCUUUAAGUUGCAGACUCGUAGUCUUAGCUCUCUUGGUUGGUUACUUUGUAGGGUUUCCCUUCCUACCAUUUGGCUAACGUUUUGCACCCUUGUGUGCACUAAACUGCAGAUACUUAUAGAAGUUUUAAAAGUGUCACCUAUUGUAACUCACGUAGGGUCCCAUUGUGCGAAUCUCAAUGCGGUAUGUAUCUGCAGCACGCUUGGGAUUAACAAUCUUGUGAUCUGAUAUUCACCUAAUUAAUAAACUAACUCGAUGUCAAGUACUUUGCAUCUAAUGUAUGUCUUGUUUCUAUAGUUAAGCCUCCUCACAGAAUAAUCUAGCUCUCUAGAUAGCUACCUUAGGAAUUUUUAAUUGUGUUCCCUUGAAUUUUCUAAAGGUGAACUAUAUAAGUACAAUUCCCAAGACACUAGGAGACUUGAAAAUUCCAACUAAGUGCAGUACUCUAUUGGAAUAACGAGAGUCUAAUUCCUUUUCACAGUACAUAUAUCUUACAGCGGUAUGUGCACAUAUACCUUUGAUUCUCCCAUGAUCCCAAAAUCCUUUUUGGACAGACUUCCCUCUUCAUUGGUACCCUUUUUUCUCACCUGUAUAUGUGAAUUUGAAGGAGGGUUUAGCGAACACAAAAAAAAGCACUGUAAAACCUUCGAGAGAAAAGUAUACAUGUUCCUUACUCAUCAUUGAUCUCCUGAGUUGAUUGAAAUUAAAAAAAUAGAGAAAAGGUUUUUUUAUUAUAUAGCAGAUCUCUGUAAUUUGUAACAUGGUAUAAGAUAUAGUUUUCCAAAGAAGAAAGGCCUCUUUUAAAAAUCUUGGUCUGAAUUUCUUGAAUCGGAUAUGGGGGGAAAUUUCAUGCCAUGAAACUGCUUGUGCCAAAGCUUAUGCAUGCCACCCAGUUAUAUGGAGUGCACCUAUCGAAAUGGAAUUUAGCUAAGCUGAGGGAAGUGCCUGUUUUCACAUCGCUGAGUCGGAGCUGAAAUCCUGAGUCAUGUCGAGCAAAAAUUCUUUAUCAUUCGUUCAUGGAGCGAUGCUGUUGUCCCUGGCUUUUGUAAGGUUGUGAUUAGUCAAACUAGUAUGAAAUCUAGCAUCAAUCCUCACUAGUUAUUUAACUCCGUAGAUAGUGUCAUGCUCGCUGAUGGUAUGGUAUUACAGACAAAGGGUCUGUAUGUACCGUAUGCGUUAUAACUAGGGGCGGUAAUGAAUCGCAAUCCAAAUUAUAAAAAGUUAGGUUUUUUAAUAAAUUUUAGUUUAAAAAAUAAAUAGGACUAGAGUCUGAUCCUUAGAUUUUAUAGUGUAAAAUUUAGAGCUCAUUACCACCUCUAGUUAUAACUUGAGAUGAUGUUGUUCUCUAGAUUUUUUUUUUUUUACGGAGGCCCAUCUCUGGAUUUUCUCUCUAUCCUUGGUGCCAACGUGUGGUUAUAAUUAUCUACCUUUGUCGAUUGGCGAUAAUGUUUUGUAUCCAUUUGGUUGUCGGUACUCAGAAAUUUCUGUGAUUGCCUAUCCUUGAGGGAGAGUCUGGGAUACACACCUUCUUGACUACAGACAGCCAGUACUUAUGCUUCAAACAAGGAUUAUUUGGCUUGACAACCUUUACAUGGUUUUGAUUCAAGUAUUGUCUAGUGAACAAGUAGCCACAAAAAAAUUGUCUCCUGAAGACUUUUUUCUUCUUCUUCUUCCUGACAUGAGAUUAAGUUUACACGCUUGGUAUGUGCAGUGGUGGACCACGGUGCCAGAGGCGAAGCAGGCGGACAAGUUACCAAGAAACCGUGUGAGAAAACCCAAGGUAUAGGUCACUGAUCACCAGGCAGGUCACCAUCGUAGUCACAUAUGGCACCAUUCUUUAACCGAAGCUUUUCAGACUGGUCCGGCCAUUCGUGCAUCCGGUGCUGCACAGCACUGCUGCGUCGGUGUCGUCAACAGAGCCUCCACGGACAUUGAUGCGAGAAACCUGCGUGGAUCCAAGUGCUGCCUUCUCAUUCCUCCCUUGCAGCCAAGCCAGAAAUAUAUAAAAAAAAAUAUAUAAGGGAAGAAAGAUACUGUAACAUGCAACCCAAAAUCCCAUGGGCCAUGUUUUCCAAA